UACGAAGGGGGCGAGCGUUUGUUCGGAAUUACUGGGCGUAAAGGGCGCGCAGGCGGUCUUCCAAGUCGGGGCGUGAAAGCCCCCGGGCUCAACCUGGGAAUAGCGUUCGAGACUGGGGGGACUGGAGGACGGGAGAGGAGAGUGGAAUUCCCAGUGUAGAGGUGAAAUUCGUAGAUAUUGGGAAGAACACCAAUGGCGAAGGCAGCUCUCUGGACCGUUACUGACGCUGAGGCGCGAAAGCGUGGGGGAGCAAACAGG
rnacentral:rRNA from 1 species